AGAGUUUGAUCAUGGCUCAGGACGAACGCUGGCGGCGUUAACACAUGCAAGUCGAACGGACCAAGUUGUAGCAAUAUGGCUUGGUUAGUGGCGAACGGGUGAGGAACACGUGACUAAUCUACCCUGGACUGGGGAAUAACGUUGGGAAACCGGCGCUAAUACCGCAUGUUGAGCCUGAAGGGCAUCCUUCGGGUUUGAAAGUUUCAGCGGUCCGGGAUGAGGUCGCGUCCCAUUAGUUUGUUGGUGAGGUAACGGCUCACCAAGGCGACGAUGGGUAGCUGAUCUGAGAGGAUGAUCAGCCACACUGGGACUGAGAUACGGCCCAGACUCCUACGGGAGGCAGCAGUGAGGAAUAUUGCGCAAUGGGCGAAAGCCUGACGCAGCAACGCCGCGUGGAGGAUGAAGGUGCUUUGCAUUGUAAACUCCUGUAAGGGGGGACGAACAACCCGCCAUUCGGCGGGCCUGACGGUACCCCCAAAGUAAGCACCGGCUAAUUCCGUGCCAGCAGCCGCGGUAAUACGGAAGGUGCAAGCGUUGUCCGGAUUUACUGGGUGUAAAGGGCGUGUAGGCGGAGUGGUAUGUCGGAAGUGAAAUCGUGCGGCUCAACCGUAUCAAGUGCUUCCGAAACUGCCACCCUUGAGUACCAGAGAGGGAGAUGGAAUUCCCGGUGUAGCGGUGGAAUGCGUAGAUAUCGGGAGGAACACCCGUGGCGAAGGCGGUCUCCUGGCUGGUUACUGACGCUGAAGCGCGAAAGUGUGGGGAGCAAACAGGAUUAGAUACCCUAGUAGUCC
rnacentral:rRNA from 1 species